CAUCAAUUCUUUGGUGCUCAGCGUUUUUUAUGGUCCAACUCUCACAUCCAUACAUGACUACUGGAAAGACCGUAGCUUUGACUAUACAGAACUUCGUUAGCAGUGAAGGAGCUGUGUGGUGGUUCAAAGCAGGUAGGAAAGUCCUGUCAGCCCUGAAUGGAAUCCAAGCUCCACCACUCACUAGUAGUUUGACCUAAGUGGACAACUUUUCCUCUUGUGUAACAAUAGGGUUAGUCUAGUUCUAGUGAGGCUGAAGGAGUAACAUGAUGAGAUUCAUGCCUGCACAUAGCUUAAGGGCUUCCCUCAUAACUCAGCUGGUAAAGAAUCUGCCUGCAAUUCAAAAGACCUGGGUUCGAUCCCUGGGUUGGGGAGAUCCCUGGAGGAGGGCGUGGCAACCCACUCCAGUAUUCUUGCCUGGAAAAUCCCAUAGACAGAGGAGCCUGGUGGGCUAUAGUCCAUGGGGUCACAAAGAGUUGGACAUGACUGAGUGACUAAGUCCAGCACCACAGGGCUUAAAACAUCACUUACUCAGUCUGUUGUUCGUAAGAUGCUCAAGCCUUUGUUUCUGUCUCUCAGGGACACAUGGCCAUGGGAAUGAGCAGGGAGAAGGGGAUUUGGGCCCUCCCACUUCUUCAAGGGCACAGGGCAGAGCUAGAGAUUUUAAGUCACUCUAGUUUUCUCUCGAGAUGCUCAAGACUGGGGAUCUUGAGAGUUAGUUGACAGCAUGCCAAGCAGUGGCUUAUGAGCCAGGCUGAAAUCUAAGUCUGCAGAAAAAGAGGAGUGACCUCUGUGCCCGGAGCUUCCUGAGCGCCCGUGACUUCCUGAAAGUGCUGUCUCCUGGUCUGCGGGAGACUAGUGCUCCCGGCUGCAGGGCCGCCGUGGGAGCAUCCAGCCCCGCCGGUCCUGCUCCAGCUCUCCAGACCCUGUCCUCAUCAGCUUUUCCUCGAGCAUCCAUGUUCCCACUCACUUUGCAAAAUGCCCCUGCUCUGAACCCUCCCACCCCAAGCUACUGACUGUUCAUGAAUAUUUUAAGCAGAUAUAGUGGAAUUAACAAAAAUAUCUAUCUCUAGGACUUUUUCCUUGAGGAACCUGAAGAUAAAAUUUGAGCAAUGCCGGAGUCCUCCUGGAGCUGCGUGUGUACCUGCAGAAAGGCAGAUUAGCGAGAGGACUGUCUUCUGAUGAACGGCGCGAGUCAUCUUCGGGCUAAGAGCCUGGAGUUUCGAUGCCAGCUGUGCUGCCAACCCGCGGGCGGGCCCAGGCAAACUGCCCACACUCGCUGUGCCUCAGUUUUCCCAUAUGCAAAGAGGAGAUAGAAAUAUACCUCCCCAGUGGGGAUGUCCUGAGGAUUAACGGAACAGUAUCAGGAAAGCACUUUGUGGUGUUUUAUACGCCAAAAGGUAUUACCAUUAUAAAAAUGCACAAUGUGAGACUCUAUUUUUUACUUUGUGACUUUGAUGGCAUGAACAAACUUCACCCUCCAGCUUUUUAAUAUGAUUAUAAGCCCUUUACAAGAAUACAGCUUUCACACUGCACAGCAGGAUACAUAAUAUUUCUUAUAAAUUUAAUUUAGAAAACGGCAGGAAAAUAAUGUUGAGGAUUUUCCCUAACCCUACUAAAGCAAGGCAAUUCCAUUAAUACUGCCACUCCGUCUCUAACUCCACACAUGGCACUUUAAGAUGACAGUCUUCUAGGAUCCCUGCCAUUCUUUGGAACAAUAAAGGUAAACUUGAGAUAUGGGACACGUUUUGUCUCUGAAUUUGUUUUCCUAAAGCUGCGCAGUUGGAUCUCUAACAACACCCUUCGUGUUUAGCUCUUCUUUUGAAGUAGCGGGCUGAAAAGUUCUAAGGCUAGAACAGAGACGUGGCAUUGACCCAGCUUUGAUCAUGCAAGAAAAAAGAUAAUCCAGAAGAAGUUGAAGAACCAAGACAGAAGAAAUCUGGUUUCCUGACUGACUUUUCAAAGAGAAGCUACUCAACAAGGCUACACUAUCCAGACAAUUACAGGAGAGAAAUAAACCUCUGUCUUAUGGAAGCCUUUCUAUUUUUAGUGACUUUUUGUUACAGGAACUUAACAUUUACUUCAACAUAUAUAGCAGAUACCAAUAUUUGCUUGCUGCAUCUGUUAUCAAACAUGUAAACAAUAAUGUUCACAUCCUCUGAGAAGUAGAGAGUGAAUUAUAAAAAUUCUGAAGAUUGGAUGUUUAAGUUUUAAAUAUACCAUAUGCAUAAACAUUAUUUUUGUCCUUGAA